rnacentral:rRNA from 1 species
UACGUAGGGUGCAAGCGUUGUCCGGAAUUAUUGGGCGUAAAGAGCUCGUAGGCGGUCUGUCGCGUCGGCUGUGAAAACCCGGGGCUCAACCCCGGGCCUGCAGUCGAUACGGGCAGACUAGAGUGCGGUAGGGGAGACUGGAAUUCCUGGUGUAGCGGUGAAAUUCGUAGAUAUCGGGAGGAACACCGGUGGCGAAGGCGGCGAUCUGGGUAGAUACUGACGCUGAGGUGCGAAAGCGUGGGGAGCAAACAGG